rnacentral:rRNA from 1 species
AGGACGAACGCUGGCGGCGUGCCUAAUACAUGCAAGUCGAGCGAGUCUGCCUUGAAGAUCGGAGUGCUUGCACUCUGUGAAACAAGAUACAGGCUAGCGGCGGACGGGUGAGUAACACGUGGGUAACCUGCCCAAGAGAUCGGGAUAACACCUGGAAACAGAUGCUAAUACCGGAUAACAACAGAUGAUGCCUAUCAACUGUUUAAAAGAUGGUUCUGCUAUCACUCUUGGAUGGACCUGCGGUGCAUUAGCUAGUUGGUAGGGUAACGGCCUACCAAGGCGAUGAUGCAUAGCCGAGUUGAGAGACUGAUCGGCCACAUUGGGACUGAGACACGGCCCAAACUCCUACGGGAGGCAGCAGUAGGGAAUCUUCCACAAUGGACGCAAGUCUGAUGGAGCAACGCCGCGUGAGUGAAGAAGGUUUUCGGAUCGUAAAGCUCUGUUGUUGGUGAAGAAGGAUAGAGGUAGUAACUGGCCUUUAUUUGACGGUAAUCAACCAGAAAGUCACGGCUAACUACGUGCCAGCAGCCGCGGUAAUACGUAGGUGGCAAGCGUUGUCCGGAUUUAUUGGGCGUAAAGCGAGCGCAGGCGGAAGAAUAAGUCUGAUGUGAAAGCCCUCGGCUUAACCGAGGAACUGCAUCGGAAACUGUUUUUCUUGAGUGCAGAAGAGGAGAGUGGAACUCCAUGUGUAGCGGUGGAAUGCGUAGAUAUAUGGAAGAACACCAGUGGCGAAGGCGGCUCUCUGGUCUGCAACUGACGCUGAGGCUCGAAAGCAUGGGUAGCGAACAGGAUUAGAUACCCUGGUAGUCCAUGCCGUAAACGAUGAGUGCUAAGUGUUGGGAGGUUUCCGCCUCUCAGUGCUGCAGCUAACGCAUUAAGCACUCCGCCUGGGGAGUACGACCGCAAGGGUUGAAACUCAAAGGAAUUGACGGGGGCCCGCACAAGCGGUGGAGCAUGUGGUUUAAUUCGAAGCAACGCGAAGAACCUUACCAGGUCUGACAUCUAGUUGCCAUUUGUAGAGAUACAAGUUUCCCUUCGGGGACGCUA